GCGAAAGAACAGGAUUUACAUAUAUAUAUUUAUGACUACUUCUUCUACUUUGACAAGUUUAUUUUUGAAUAACAUAUCAUUGGAGUUCCCUUCCCUGGAUUUAUAUAAUAAUAAUAAUUUGUAUAGGCGUUAUUAUUAUAGAGAGAGAGUUUUCAUGUCCCGAGAUUUAUUCUGAAUUAAUAUUUUGAUAAAUCUGCGGAGUGGAUUGUUCGUCUCUUCUACUUUUUCCUCGUUCUUUUACACAUAAUACAUUCGCGGAAUAUGAUCAUGGAUUCUUCUUCUUCACCCUCAACAACAAAUGAAGUCGUGGAUACGAAGCCUUAUCUUCUCUCCUCAUCCAAUACUUUUCAAGACCAAACGAGUCCUCCACACAUGAUAUCCCCUUCUCCAUGGUUAUCCUACGCCGCUGCCGCGGCAGCUUUAGCUGCAAGUCAUAGUCAACAUCCUCCAUUUCCAGCAUUCCUACUCCCUUCGCUUUGCAUGCAAAGCCUUCUACUACAACAAUCCCGUCUCCUCCAGUCCAAAGAAGACUCCUCGCCCCUUAACCUCUCCACCACGUCACUAUCAUCCCUCGUAACCGCCAACAAUAACAACAACAAUGUCAAAUUUGAUCACCACCGCCCUGCCAAAGGAAUCUGGUCCCCUGCUUCCUCCUGCGAAGAAGAAGAAGAAGAAAAAAAGAGUUGUGGCCUUGUAGGAGCCCCUGUGUGUAGUAGCAACAAACUCUCCUUUCUUAGCACGUGUCCCUACAUCUGUCCAACCUGUCGUGCACCCUUUGAGCACUCCCUUAGUCUUCAAAUCCAUUUCCGCACAUUCCACUCUUCACCGCCUCUGACGAGGCAUACGGAAGAAUCCUCCCUGGAAGAGCUCUCAAAAGUCCAUCUCUCUGCCGGUGGUAGCUUACAUCAUAUCAACAACAAUAGUAUCCUGAAUUGUAGUGGCAGUAAUGAACACAACAACAGUAUUGCCUCACUCUCGCCCAACUCCGGAGGGGCCCUGAUAUUUUCCGAGGGGGAGGGAAAGUCCUCUGACAAAACGUUUCGAUGUCAACAAUGCGGCAAAUGUUUCAAAAGAAGCUCCACACUCUCCACUCAUCUUCUGAUACAUUCCGACACUCGACCUUAUCCAUGUUCUUUUUGCGGAAAGAGAUUUCAUCAGAAAUCUGAUAUGAAGAAGCACACGUAUAUUCAUACAGGUGAGAAGCCACACAAAUGCGUCGUUUGCGCCAAAGCAUUUAGUCAAUCCUCUAAUUUGAUUACCCAUAUGAGAAAGCACUCGGGCUACAAACCCUUUGCGUGUGGUUUAUGUGAAAAGCGGUUCCAAAGAAAGGUUGAUCUCCGAAGACAUAGAGACUCUCAGCAUCCCACUUCCACAACGACUUAGCAAAUCAUUUUUUUUUUUUAUUUAUUUAGUUUGUUUUUCAAUACCUAUGUUGUAGUCUGUUACUGCUUUGCAGGCUUGGAUAUUGAGCACUCAAUGAGCCCCGUUGAUUUAGCUAAAACCAAGCGGUGAAACGACGAACACGUCAUCAUUUUUUGUUCAAACGUAUUUGGCGGCGAAAAUACAUUUUUGACCGCGAGGAGACGCUGAACAUAUCAUGAAUUACUAUCAUUAUACUAACUAUUCAACCUCCAUGAAUUCACAAAGCAGGGGUGGGCUUGAGGGAUUAUAGGCCCCCCCCCCCAAAAAAAAAA
rnacentral:misc_RNA from 1 species